rnacentral:tRNA from 1 species
AAUUGUAUAAAUAGUUUAAAUAAAAUAUUAGUUUUGUAAACUAAAGAUAAUAAAAAAUUUUUAUAC